GUAGAACAUAGAACCACUUGGAAUGAGCAUUUAUAAUAAUUAUAACAUACAUUAACAUUCUAAUAUACAACGUAACACUUGAAGAAAAAACAAAACUCUCUAUAUCUACAUCAGUACAUACAUUAUCAAAGUGCAUACAUACAAAUUAUAAACUAAAUAUGGUUUUGAAUUUUAUAUUUUAUUUUAUUUACAAGAGGGUUUUGAACGUGGAGGUCUGAGGGUCCCACAUUGCGGGGAGCAGAUAUUUACGCCCAUUCAUACCUAAUGCGUUGUAGCUAGCUCCUGUCGUUUUGUCCACCAAAACCUCCCCUGGAUAUCCCGGGUAUGCUCCGUUUCCAAAAAUACCCGUGCACGCGCUCACUGCCUCUAGUGGAGCGCCAGCGCUCCCCUGAAAGUACCCGUUAUUAAACGGAUUCGUUACCGUUCCCGCCAAAACCGUGGCCAAAUUAAUG
rnacentral:misc_RNA from 1 species